GGGUUCACCUCAGUAGAAGAACACUGCAGCAGCGGCAGAGGCUUUUGGUGCAUUCAGAAGCCUCUCUUUAUAUUCAUGAGCCUUAUCAGACUUGAGACUAUUUGGGUCAGAGGUUUCAUGAGCUUUAUCAGACGUAAGACUAUUUGGGUCAGAGGUUUCAUGAGCCUUAUCAGACGUAAGACUAUUUGGGUCAGAGGUUUCAUGAGCCUUACCAGAUGUUUUCUUUUUUGCAAAUAUCUUCAUUUUCUGUAACACCAUGGAAUGCCCGAGCAAAUAUUCCAGAAACUGAAUCAUCUGUCUCUCCAUUACGAAGCCAGC